AUUGAACGCUGGCGGCAUGCCUUACACAUGCAAGUCGAACGGCAGCACGGGAGCAAUCCUGGUGGCGAGUGGCGAACGGGUGAGUAAAGUAUCGGAACGUGCCCAGUCGUGGGGGAUAACGUAGCGAAAGUUACGCUAAUACCGCAUACGAUCUAUGGAUGAAAGCGGGGGAUCGCAAGACCUCGCGCGAUUGGAGCGGCCGAUAUCAGAUUAGGUAGUUGGUGGGGUAAAGGCUCACCAAGCCGACGAUCUGUAGCUGGUCUGAGAGGACGACCAGCGACACUGGGACUGAGACACGGCCCAGACUCCUACGGGAGGCAGCAGUGGGGAAUUUUGGACAAUGGGCGAAAGCCUGAUCCAGCAAUGCCGCGUGCAGGAAGAAGGCCUUCGGGUUGUAAACUGCUUUUGUACGGAGCGAAAAGGUCUCCUCUAAUACAGGGGGCUCAUGACGGUACCGUAAGAAUAAGCACCGGCUAACUACGUGCCAGCAGCCGCCGUAA
rnacentral:rRNA from 1 species